GUUACGGACCUCCAGAACCCCGUCCAGAGUCGACACCUGAUUGGACACAAACAGAACGAACGAACCAGUCAGCAGGAAUCAAAGUAAAAGCAGCGAUGACCCCCCAGGUGGGGGUGAAGCUGAGCGUUAGAGGCGAGGAUGCAGGCAGGAAGUGGAUGAACCCGCCCAUCCCUGCGAGCCGUUAAUCUCUGCUGAUGCAUCGAUAUAAUUUGACAUAAAACCAUGUGUGUGUUUGUGUUUCGGCUCGGGAUUAAAACUAAGGCAAACAUAA